ACAAGAAAAAAAGAGGACAGACAAAAUUAAAACUAACGUGUUCUUCAAUUCUCUCUUCUUUCCUCUCUUUUCCCUCCUCUUU
rnacentral:ribozyme from 14 species